rnacentral:rRNA from 1 species
AACGAACGCUGGCGGCAUGCCUAACACAUGCAAGUCGAACGAAGGCUUCGGCCUUAGUGGCGCACGGGUGCGUAACGCGUGGGAAUCUGCCCUUGGGUACGGAAUAACUCACCGAAAGGUGUGCUAAUACCGUAUGAUGACGUAAGUCCAAAGAUUUAUCGCCUGAGGAUGAGCCCGCGUAGGAUUAGCUAGUUGGUGAGGUAAAGGCUCACCAAGGCGACGAUCCUUAGCUGGUCUGAGAGGAUGAUCAGCCACACUGGGACUGAGACACGGCCCAGAGCCCUACGGGAGGCAGCGGUGGGGAAUAUUGGACAAUGGGGGAAAGUCUGAGCCACAAGGGCGGCGUGGUUGAUAAAGGCUUUAGGGUUGAAAAGCUCUUUUGCCCGGGAAGAGAAUGACUGCACCGGGAGAAUAACCCCCGCCUACCCCCGGGCCGCCCGCCGCGGUAA